GCAAGUCGAACGGUAAAUCUAGUGCUUGCACUAGAUACGAGUGGCGCACCGUUGCGUAACGCGUAUGCAACCUACCCUUUACUGGGGGAUAGCCCGGAGAAAUUCGGAUUAAUACCCCAUGGUAUCUUAGGAUCUCAUGGUUUUAAGAUUAAAGAUUUAUUGGUAAAGGAUGGGCAUGCGUGACAUUAGCUAGUUGGUGAGGUAACGGCUCACCAAGGCGAUGAUGUCUAGGGGUUCUGAGAGGAUGAUCCCCCACACUGGUACUGAGAUACGGACCAGACUCCUACGGGAGGCAGCAGUAGGGAAUAUUGGUCAAUGGACGGAAGUCUGAACCAGCCAUGCCGCGUGCAGGAAGACGGCCUUCUGGGUUGUAAACUGCUUUUAUCAGGGAACAAAUAGCCCAUGCGUGGGAAGUUGAGUGUACCUGAAGAAUAAGCACCGGCUAACUCCGUGCCAGCAGCCGCGGUAAUACGGAGGGUGCAAGCGUUGUCCGGAUUUAUUGGGUUUAAAGGGUGCGUAGGCGGUCGAUUAAGUCAGUGGUGAAAUCCUCCAGCUCAACUGGAGAACUGCCAUUGAAACUGGUUGACUUGAGUACAGACGAGGUAGGCGGAAUUUAUGGUGUAGCGGUGAAAUGCAUAGAUACCAUAAAGAACACCGAUAGCGAAGGCAGCUUACUAGACUGUAACUGACGCUGAGGCACGAAAGCGUGGGGAGCGAACAGGAUUAGAUACCCUGGUAGUCCACGCUGUAAACGAUGAUGACUCGAUGUGUGCGAUAUACAGUACGCGUCUUAGCGAAAGCGUUAAGUCAUC
rnacentral:rRNA from 1 species